UGGGGAAUAUUGCACAAUGGGCGCAAGCCUGAUGCAGCCAUGCCGCGUGUGUGAAGAAGGCCUUCGGGUUGUAAAGCACUUUCAGCGAGGAGGAAGGUGGUGAGCUUAAUACGCUCAUCAAUUGACGUUACUCGCAGAAGAAGCACCGGCUAACUCCGUGCCAGCAGCCGCGGUAAUACGGAGGGUGCAAGCGUUAAUCGGAAUUACUGGGCGUAAAGCGCACGCAGGCGGUUUGUUAAGUCAGAUGUGAAAUCCCCGGGCUCAACCUGGGAACUGCAUUUGAAAACUGGCAAGCUAGAGUCUCGUAGAGGGGGGUAGAAUUCCAGGUGUAGCGGUGAAAAUGCGUAGAGAUCUGGAGGAAUACCGGUGGCGAAGGCGGCCCCCUGGACGAAGACUGACGCUCAGGUGCGAAAAGCGUGGGGAGCAAAACAGGAUUAGAUACCCUGGUAGUCCACGCUGUAAAACGAUGUCGAUUUUGGAGGUUGUGCCCUUGAGGCGUGGCUUCCGGAGCUAACGCGUUAAAUCGACCGCCUGGGGAGUACGGCCGCAAGGUUAAAAACUCAAAAUG
rnacentral:rRNA from 1 species